UACAGAGGGUGCAAGCGUUAAUCGGAAUUACUGGGCGUAAAGCGCACGUAGGUGGAUAUUUAAGUUAGAUGUGAAAGCCCCGGGCUCAACCUGGGAAUGCCAUUUAAAACUGGGUAUCUAGAGUAUGGUAGAGGGUAGUGGAAUUUCCAGUGUAGCGGUGAAAUGCGUAGAUAUUGGAAGGAACAUCAGUGGCGAAGGCGACUACCUGGACUAAUACUGACACUGAGGUGCGAAAGCGUGGGUAGCGAACAGG
rnacentral:rRNA from 1 species